CGUAAGUGUGGAAUGCAGGAGAUACUGCACGUACUUCUCCUACCACCGGCCUAUUUUGUCGAUUCUUGCGGUGUCCCGAGAACCGAUGCCAUCCCAGUGAAGUGAAUUAACGUCACUGAUCGUCGUUGGUCCGCUAGUUCAUCUGCCAAAACGUUCGAUUUCAACCAGAAUGACCAAUCAUUGACAUCAGCCGGACAGUCCGUAGCAAAAAUAGAUAAUUGAUCCUGAAAAUGAAACUUGAGUAUUUGAUUCAGCCCAACAGUGGAUUGAUGCAUCCUUUAACAUUCAUCGGGACCACGGCGUACAUCACUUCAAAAGGCUUCAAGCCAACAUAAACAAACGGCCCUUUUCAGGGCCACCAAAUAUUCAUGGAGGAAGAUGUUGUUGAGGCUGUUGUUUACCGAUCUUCUGUUUCUUUAAUACUCUGCUUAUAGUUAUAAACCGAAAUGAUUUUAUAGUAACAAUCGGGUUUUCGCCCAUUUAUUUCCAGGAUAUGCGACAUGUCGAGGAUAUUCCAACCCAGAUUGAAUAUACAGCCCCAUCUUCAAAAAUCAGCACCAAGAAACAUAUUUAGAGUUUCAAAAUAAAAUCUUCUACACUUACGUAAUCCUACGUCCAAUUGGCGGUCGUGUCUCGGAUACAACCUUCUACUUUUUUUGUUUGGGGUCCUCUGUGGCGGAUUUGUCUAGGUCGUUUCUCGAGCGUUUUG